AACUGCGAGUGAAGCGGCAAAAGCUCAAAUUUGAAAUCGGCGUCCUUUGCGGGCAUCGAGUUGUAAUUUGGAGGGAUAACUUCGGUACAGACUACAUCGUAAGUUCCUUGGAACAGGACGUCAUAGAGGGUGAGAAUCCCGUGUCUUGGUGUUUGGCUGUGCCAUGUGAAGUGUCUCCGACGAGUCGAGUUGUUUGGGAAUGCAGCUCAAAAUGGGUGGUAAAUUUCAUCUAAAGCUAAAUAUUGGCGAGAGACCGAUAGCGCACAAGUAGAGUGAUCGAAAGAUGAAAAGCACUUUGAAAAGAGAGUUAAAAAGUACGUGAAAUUGUUGAAAGGGAAGCGCUUGCGACCAGACUCGAUCUUUGGUGAUCAGCCGGGCUUCUGUCCGGUGCCCUUACCAUUGAUUGGGCCAGCAUCGGUUCCGACGGCGGGAUAAAAGGAGGAGGAAUGUGGCUCCCUUCGGGGAGUGUUAUAGCCUUCUUCACAAUGCCGCCAGUUGGGACCGAGGACCGCGCUUCGGCUAGGAUGCUGGCGUAAUGGUCUUAAGCGACCCGUCUUGAAACACGGACCAAGGAGUCUAACAUCUAUGCGAGUGUUCGGGUGGAAAACCCUUGCGCGUAAUGAAAGUGAACGGAGGUGUGAACCCUUUACCGGGUGCAACAUCGACCGGUCCUGAUGUCUUCGGAAGGAUCUGAGUAAGAGCAUAGCUGUUGGGACCCGAAAGAUGGUGAACUAUGCCUGAAUAGGGUGAAGCCAGAGGAAACUCUGGUGGAGGCUCGCAGCGGUUCUGACGUGCAA
rnacentral:rRNA from 1 species